rnacentral:lncRNA from 1 species
GCAGUCUUUACUAAAACGGUCAUAACUUGAGCUCCCGAACUCAAAAUCGAAUGAUUCAAAAUGCGUUUCGAAGUUAAGAGAUAAAUCUUCAAACGCCAUGAGACAUCUCAACCCAGAAAUGUCAAGAUCCCAUCCAAAAAGUCGUCGAAAGUCUGUUGAUUUCCCAAGCCUGAAAAUUGGCAAUUUUGAUAAUUGGAAUCUAAUAUAUUUCACCCCAUUUAUGCAUGUAUCAUAAUACAGUUGCACAAUCUACAGAAAAAGUUGAAUGUGUUGCAAUUAAUGUUGCUAUCAACAAGUUUUGUGGUUAAGAAAAGUUUUAAUGGAUUUGAAUCUAAAGCAAAAACGAUGCACAAAAAUGUUCAUUGAAGCACUUCAAUAUCAAAUUAUUUUCUCUUAGAGAAGUGCAUAAGGAAGGUUCAGUUGGUUAAAAAUAUUGCAAAUCUGAAGCUCAACUAUCUAGUAUAUUUUACAAAGUCCUUACUAAGAAGCAAGUUUGAGUUUCUUAGACCAAAACUUGGUGUUUACAACAACCAAAGUAAAGAGUAUUGAAGUUGUGUUUCAGCUAUCGCAAAAUUUGGUCAAAACAAAUUUUACUGAUUUUUCUUAAUUUUUAAAUCGUUUUAUUAUUAUUGUUGAUUUUAAAAAUUUGUUGAUCAUAAAAUAUGAUAGUUGCUUAAUUUUAGGAUGUAAUUAUAUUCAUUUUCAUGCAUUUAAACAACACUCCAACCCAAUAAAAAAGUUGACUUUACCAACAAUUAUUUCUAUCUUUCUUUUCUUUUUUUUUUUUGCCUCUUGAUCUUUAUUUUUGUUUCUUUAAAUUACAACAAAAUUUAUUCCAGCAUAUCCAAUAAAUCAAAAUUCAAACACGUCACCUACCAAUAAGUGAUCAUAGGUCCACGUAUAAUCGAAGCUCCCUUACCCCCCUCUCUAUGGGAGGAUUAGUAACUGAUCCCUUGCUGUAAUUAAUUCCCCUCCUUAUUCUAGUUACCUCAACUAUCAAAAUGCAUUUAUUCCCCGUAAAAGAUCCAUUCACAACCAAUAAUCUUUAAAAUCUGAGCUACUAAUGUUUUUCCUAGGAUGUUACACCUUCCUAAUGAAGAUUUGACAUCGUUACAUAUGAUUGUAAGCCAGCAAUCUUGUUGGAGGCCAAGACAGUUAAUACUUUAGUUCUAGAGAAAACUACCCCAUAAGACUGUCAAUGGUCGUCUAUAAAAUCAAUGCCAAAGUCCCCGCUAUACAAGUUGUUGAGCAAUUUAUCCAAUUGAAGAAUAUGGGGUUCAGUCUCUGAUUUUUUCCUAAAGGACACAGGAAAAACUCCGAUUCCGAUUUUUGGGGAAUACAUUGUUGCCAAAGAAGCGGGCAAGACCCUUUCAAAGUGUUCUUUGAAAUCCAAUCAGCGACUCGAUUACCAGUUCUAUCAACAUGCGAAAAAUAAAUAUCAGUAUUGGAUGUCCAUGAUAAAAUAUCUUCAAUAAUUAUAGACACAUCACACAUCCCAGGGAAUCUUCCUGUGCUUACCAUGGAUCAUGUUCAUAGCUUUCACGCAGUCAGACUCUAGGAUCACAUGUUACCAGCAAUUGCGAUUGAUGAGGACCGAACCUAACCUAAUCGUCCAGGUUUCGCUACGAACGCACUCGCUGAGUAUGUUUGUGCGUUGAUUCUGUCAAGAGAUUGCUAUUCCUUGCAACAGCCUCAUGACCAGCAGAUUUUAAGCUGACCAGCCGCAAAAGACAAAAACAGAGCAGAAAACAGCAGCAGGGAUACAGAAGCCAAACCAAAUCAAGCAAAAAACAGAGCAGAAAGACAAGAAGCCCUCACUCCAAGACCACUCCGAAAAGCAGAUAAACAUGAACAAAAACAGGGUGAACGAAAUCAAGAGAGUCGAGGGACAAAACUUACCUCAAAACCUCUGAACCAGAAAACGCGAGAAAGAAACCCCAAACUGGAAAAACAAAGCUGUAGACGCUCAGUAGAGAGAAAAAAAGUUCUACUCAAGGGAGAGAAAAUGGGGAGAAUCCCACCGGCGGGGAUGGAGAAAAUCGACCUUAUGAGUGGCGAUUUGUAAUAUUAUUUUUAAACCAUAAAUCGGGUUUGGUCUCUGAUUAUGACAAACAUCAGCACUGUCAGCUAUCAAGCGCAGGUGAAUGGUGACAAAGCAAGAGAGGUCUCAGACAAGGGAAUCAUCUUUAUUCUUGCUCAAAAUUCACUUCCCUUACCACUUCUGAAAACCGAAGCAACGGAGAUUCCUGGUAUGAAAAUUAGAAGGAAUACUCGGGUAAUAUCACAUUUUGUCUUUGCUGCUGAUGAUGUUUACAUUCUUUUCAGAUCUAAUGUCAUACUUGAUACUUGGCACAAGAGCUUUCAGGUUGCCACCCAAAGUCCCAAAAACAAUGACCUUAAAAAAAAUGGUACAAGAUCUAUACGACCCUCAAGGAAAGUUAUCUGGAGUGUCCUCGUUUAAAACUCAACGACAGUGUUCAUUAAUGAUUUUUACGAGUCGUAAAUUGACGAUGCCACGUUAGCAAGACACAUCGUCGAAAUCCUCUGGAAGGAUUUUCUUUUGAUUAUUGAUUUUACCUGUUUGUUUGUUUGAUUAUUGAUUUUCUUUAGUAGUACAGACAGAUGGGCCUCACUGAAAUUGUCCAACGAGAUAUGAGGUUUUGAUUCCGAAAACCCAACAGGAACGGGUCAAA